GUUAAUGUCAACAUCCCAUCCACAAGAUACAAUACAGAGUCGCUCUGCCCUGUGGAAAUUUGGAGAAUGCGUGCUUUCAUCAGUCUUCACAAAGUGCUCACAACUGGGUCAUGCCCUAUCUCCAGAAAACUGCCAAAAGGAGAAAUUGUGAAGAUGUUAAGGAAAGAGGAGAGAAUUAAUGAGUUGUGAAUCAGUGAUAAAUCUCUGGAGAGAAAUUGUUUCUAAUAUUUCUGGACUACUGGCUCCCUGCCUUCUGCUCUGCUGAGUUGACUGCAGAAAAAAUUGCUUCUCCAGGCGGUGACCGACAGCCCCCUGCCCCAGGAGCAGCGGUGCCUCAGAGCUGGUCUAUGUCACUUGGCAGGGAAUGUCAUGCCUUCCAGGUCCUGCUGCUCCUCCACGUGUACAGGCAGCAUAGCUGAAGAGGAAACUUUCUUCAUGUCUCAGUGCACAGGCAGCACACGAUGCCAAAUUAGCGAGCCUUGGUGUCAGCAUUGUCAAAACACUUAUGAAAAGGAUAAAGUUUAAAUAGGCUGCUGAUCCCGCUGUUACGAAUGGAUGUGGGGGUUUAGGUACGUCCUUGCCUUUUGCCCAGGCCUCUGGCAGCAGGCAGUAGCUUCAUUGAGGCGGCCAGCACCCCAAAACCCACUCUCGUUUGCAAGUUCUUUAAUUAUGGCUGAUUUCGUCUAUUAUAGAAUGAAUCCUUUAUUUCCUAGACAGAAAACUAAUAGAUAUAAGAGUUCAAGUAGAGAAACUACUAGCAGGUAUAUACAGCAUAUAUAGGUAUAUACAGGUAUAUACCUAUUAAUAUUACAGCUAGCAAAGAAAUAAUACACUGAAUCCUAAGUUAUAUCUUACCAUCCAGUUGUUGGUGAGGCACACAUCCAGAUCCUUUCCCUCAAUCCCCAGGGAAGUAAUCAUAGAUUUGCAUCCGUGCUCCAGGGAGAAGUCUUGAGCACUUCUAGAGUAUGUGUGUAGAAGUCUUCUGCGUCUGUGAUAACUCGUGUGUCUUUUAUAGUUAUAAAACAGUGUCUCUUAGUCAAGAAUAUUUCUUUUAUCUCUUCCCACAUCUUUUUUCUCAAGACUAAGAUGUUGAUUCUUAGCUGAGGACUGAGCCCUUUUGGCACCAGACAUGACCCCUUGCUGAGCCUUUCGGCCUGGCUUAUCUCUUUAUGCGCCAACUACCCAUGAUAGGGAGGAGGGGGGACAGUCCUGCCACACCCACAAAGAAAAUGUCAGCAUUUCUACUUGUGUAACCCUGUUAAACAAGAACAGGAUGUGUCUUCUGCCCUUUGACACCUCUUACAGCACAAGUUUUGUCUCUGUAGCUGGGGUGAUGUCUCUGUGUUUGAGGGACUGUAGAGUUAUAAUAGUCCAGAUACUCAGGGCCAGAGUGUCUAGGGAAACUACAGCACAUUCACAGGGACAGCAAGAGAGAAAGGAAUGGCAGCAUGGAAAAGCCAGCUGGCUGCUCGCUGAUGUUGUUGUCAGCCACCUGCAAUCACACAAAAGCUUUACUAGGGUUUAACGUAAGAAAUGAUAACACACAGCCAUAUCUGUGUAGGGCAGGGUCAGGAAACCAAUCUGAGAAAGAAUAAUUCACCUUCUUGAAGCUUUUAUUUUCUCCAGCUGCUAGCUCUCCUGCUAAAAUCAUAGUACAGGUGCAAUGUCAGAGCUGUGUCCUCAGCAUUGAACCUUGCAGCUAUUAUUGGGAGUGGUCCAGGGAAGAUUGGAUAUGGGCACAACCAAGAUCUGUACUUCUGUUCCUGCAUGCUGUGUGCAGCCUCAGCUUUCAGACUGUGCUGUGGACAGCACAGCAGUAUGGAAAGGCAGGUGCUGUGUUGAAGAGCUUAAAAUUGUUAUAUAUGCAGGAAGUGAAAAGAGGAGAGGAAAAAACAGGCUUUGUAUCAGAAGUCUGCUAAAAUGAAAGAGAGGUCUGAUGCAGAACUGUAGGAGUGAGAUCUUAAUGCAAACAAGUUUUAAAUAUUCAAAAUGUAUUUAGAGGUUUUCUGCAUGCCUGACUUCUUGAUAAGGGGUGAGUAUUUACAGUGGGAAAACCAAGAUUCCUUUAUGUGAGAAAUCAUGAAUGCAGAAAUGCUGGCAUCCCAGAUCAUUGGUUUAUUUCACAAAUUUUCACUUGUGUACAAAGACUUGGAUUAAAAUUCACCGUAUUCUUCAAAACAUACAAGCAAUUUUAAAAUGGUUCUCACUGGGUUUAGCAAGGGAUUGUGGGCUUUUAACUAGAGAUAACAAGAAGUCAGUUUAGGUAUAUCAGGAAGGAAAAUAUUUCAGACUUGACAAACAACAACAAAAUGCCUUAAACUUAAACCCACAGGACCUGAACUUUAAACUCGGAUCCGACCCGAAGCAGCAAAUCCAACAUGUGAUGUAGGAUGUAAGCUGAGCCAGCAGCCUGCUGAGCUGAUGCCCUGCCUGGAAGGGAGGCCAGUGGUGCUCAUGUCAUGUAUAAUACAGGUCGAGUAGGCUACAGGCUUCAAAAUGAGGGGAAUGCACUAACCUGGAGCAAAUCAGACCACAGCACUUUGCACCAGUUUGGACUGUCAAAGUCUCACUAGAAUCUUCCCAUAGAGUCAGAAGCAGGUUAGCUCCCAACCACAAGUUCAGAGCCUGCUGUGUAUGUGGCUUGCAUGGUAAAAAGGCUGGUGACUGCUCAGCGGAUGGGGAGGCAGUAGAGCAGGAAGAUACUUCAAUAAAAUAGUUUUAAAAGAAAAAUUUUCAAGUGUUAAAGUUUAAAAAAUAUAUGAAAGUAAAAGAAGUUUGUACACAAAGUGCAACGUAUUUAAAGUUCAAUAUAGCUCCGUGACUGUUUUUAGAACAGAUCUCUCUCUUCUGUACCUGCAGAGGAACCAGUUUGCUGCCGCUGCAUCAGAGUGCAGCUGGGAAGAAGAAAUCACCCUUACUGGUGAGGGUGGGUGCCAGCUUGCAUAGAAGCAAGGCAUAUGUCUUACAGCCUGUUUACAUGCCCGCUUCUGGAUUUGGUUGAUUUUCAGAAGAGCUGCAUUAUGCUGGCAGGCACAGCUACAGGGCAGCCCCUAUAACCUGCAUACCAUGGUCUGCAGGGCUCAGUGUGUGUGUGCAGGGGAGCAGAGAUUUUUCCCCAGGUA